GCCUUUAGAGUGACCUGAGAGCACAGAAUUGCAGACGGGACCCUUUUCUAUGAUUCAUACUACCACCCAUCAUUUUGGUACACACCGGUAGGUUUGUGAGAAAGUUGAUAACUUUUGCCGAAGACAGCCUAAUUCUUGCCUUUUCUUGUGUCUGGUUUACCCAUCACAUUCUUCUAUCAAAUCCUUUACUGGGCAGUUGGUAUUUAGUCGCAUUUAUUUAUGACAUGAUUGACUACUUGAGCAGAAAUUUUGGAAGCUUGUCAUUUGUUCUUUUUCCUUUUUGUAUUUGGCUGAUUUCUGAACUUGCUUUGCGUUUAGCUUUUUUUUUCUUCCCUUUGGAUCUCACACUUCACAUACUGCAGUCUUUUUACAGAACAAACUAAUUCCAUGUCCAUAAUAACAUAAUAACAUCUACAAUUCUUGACACCAUUCUAACUACGUUAUUGCUACCAUAUCUUAAAUUGCUUUAUAAUGUAUGCAUAAUGUCACAAGUCAAUGUUUUUCGUCAAAUUAGUGCUCUAUCUUCUGUUGCAUUUCAAUACUUCGGUUGUUCUUGCUCCAACACCCCUAUCUUCUUGCCUUUUGAAACAACAUUUUUCAAGCCAAGCCAUGAACUUUCAGACAUCCCCCUUACUAAUGAUGUUUUGCAGCUCAACACCAGAAGUUGAGCCCUUGUGAACUUCCAUAAGGUAGGUCAAAUUGAUAGCUUGAGUUAAGACUGCACCAUUUCUCCUGUGCUGCUGCCAAUGAGCCUUCCGUUGAAGUGUGGAACUUGUCCAUUAGCUGGACUCCGUCAUACUGUGAGCUCUGUGAACUUGUGUAUACUCUGUUCUGCAUUACUUGAGGCACUUCAGGCUCAAAAAUGGUUGUAUCAUCUGAACCUAUGACUUGACGACUUCCUUCCAGGUUCUUGCAGAUGUCGGCAUCUCCUCCCCAUGUUUUCUCAACCAGUGCAUUCAAGUUCUCGAACUGUUCCAAAAGACAGGAAAGUAAUCAUUUUAACUACAUGGAAUCAUUAAGUUUGUAUAGGUUGCUGAAAAUGGAACGAAGUAUGUAAUAACCUGUAAGAGUAGCGACUGCCUCUCAUUCUGUAAAGACUCGAAACGAGAUGCUAGGCUGUCAUAAUCAGCCUUCAACA
rnacentral:lncRNA from 1 species